rnacentral:rRNA from 1 species
UACGUAGGGGGCAAGCGUUGUCCGGAAUCAUUGGGCGUAAAGAGCGUGUAGGCGGCUCGGUAAGUCCGCUCUGAAAGCCCGGGGCUCAACCCCGGGAGGCGGGCGGAUACUGUCGGGCUAGAGUCCGGAAGAGGCGAGUGGAAUUCCUGGUGUAGCGGUGAAAUGCGCAGAUAUCAGGAGGAACACCAAUGGCGAAGGCAGCCUCCUGGGAUAACACUGACGCUGAGUCACGAAAGCGUGGGUAGCAAACAGG